rnacentral:lncRNA from 1 species
GGUCUAGGAAUUCGCCUGGUUCCCACCUCGCGUCCCUUGCCUUCCUUCCUAGUCUACCCACUGUAGUGCCCCCUGCGUCCCGCUCCCUCCUAGCCGACUCAGAGCACAAGAAGGAUUGCCACGGUUUCCAUUGCAGCAGCCGUGGCGCCUCUGACCCUUUUUUUAUAUCGCGGCGACGGCGGGCUGUCGUCACGACGACGUGCGGACGCAGCGGCGGGGGCCCUGAAGCAGGACAUUCUAAAUGAAAAGACUGAAUUGGAAGCAACACUUAAGGAAGCGGAGUUGGUAACUCAUUCUGUAGAAUUGCUUUUGCCACUAUUUAAGGACACCAUUGAAAAGAUUAAUUUUGAAAAUGCGAAUCUUUCUGCAUUGAAUUUGAAGAUUUCUGAACAGAAGGAAAUAUUAAUAAAAGAAUUAGACACCUUCAAAAGUGUAAAACUAGCUUUAGAACAUCUUCUUAGAAAGAGAGACUACAAACAAACAGGAGACAAUUUAUCCAGCAUGUUGCUAGAAAAUCUAACUGAUAAUGAAAGUGAAAAUACUAAUCUUAAGAAGAAGGUAUUUGAAAAGGAGGCCCAUAUCCAAGAACUUUCUUGUUUGUUUCAGAGUGAAAAGGCAAAUACUUUGAAAGCAAACCGUUUUUCCCAA